rnacentral:lncRNA from 1 species
GUUGGAAUUGUCACACUCUGCUUGGCACCACUCAGACUCAGAGGUGAGACAGGGUCCGGGCACAGUGGCUCACGCCUGUAAUCCUGGCACUUUGGGAAGCUGAGACAGGAGGAUCACUUGAUCCCAGGAGUUCGAGACCAGCCUGGGCAACACGACAAGACUCUAUCUCUACAAAAAAAUAUUGAAAAAUUAGCCAAGCAUGGUGGUGCGUGCAUGUAGUCCUAGCUACUUGGGAAGCUGACGUGAGAGGAUCGGUUGAGCCUGAGAGGUCGAGGCUGCAGCGAGCUGUGACGGCACCACCGCCCUCCAGCUGGGGCGACAGAGUGAGAAUCUGUCUCUAAAGAAAAAAAAAAAAGCAGCGAGGCAGCGGAGGAGGAUCUGAGAACAAUGGAGGAACAAGUCAGAGGAACUUGGGGUGAGACUGUUCAGGGAGGGAGCAAAGGAGGAGAGAGGAAUGGAGCAACUUCAGAGAGUGAAGAAGAUAAUGAGCUGGACUGUGAUCCCCUGAGGGAGAGUCAAGGGCCUCAGCAUUCUGAACGAAUGGGAUCCCACAGCAGGGCCCCAGGAUGUGCAUUUACUCACUGUAUCCCAGAAGGAAGAGACUGCAACUAAAGCCUGGUGAAGAUCAAGGCUACUGAAGAUGAAAGAGUUAUUAGAAGCCUGGAUUUUGUGGAUCUGGAGAUAGGAG